CAAAAACUUGGUCCCGAUUUUAUUGUCAGCUAUAGCCAAAUUUACACAUGCAAGUAUCCGCGCCCCUGUGAGAAUGCCCUCAUCCUCCCGCCCGGAAGAGAGGAGCCGGUAUCAGGCACAGCCCUGUUGCCCACGACGCCUUGCUCAGCCACACCCCCACGGGAAUUCAGCAGUGAUAAACAUUAGGCAAUUAGCGAAAGCUUGACCUAAUUAUGGUUAAGAGGGCCGGUAAAUCUCGUGCCAGCCACCGCGGUUAUACGGGAAGGCCCAAGUUGACGAAGCCCGGCGUAAAGCGUGGUUAAGAGUACAUCAAACUAAAGCCGAAGACUAUCAAGGCUGUCGCACGCAUGUCGAGAGCGCGAAGAACCUUUACGAAAGUAGCUUUAAUCAUCUGAACCCACGAAAGCUAAGGUACAAACUGGGAUUAGAUACCCCACUAUGCUUAGCCGUAAACGCAGGUGUGAGUAAUACCCCCCUACUCGCCAGGGAACUACUAGCGGCAGCUUAAAACCCAAAGGACUUGGCGGCGCUUUAGACCCACCUAGAGGAGCCUGUUCUAUAACCGAUAACCCCCGUUAAACCUCACCUCUCCUAGUUAUCACAGCCUAUAUACCGCCGUCGUCAGUCUACCCCGUGAGGGAUAAGAAGUAGACAAAAUUGGCACCGCCCAAAACGUCAGGUCGAGGUGUAGCCAAUGGAGAGGGAAGAAAUGGGCUACAUUUUCUCACGGAGAAAACUACGGAAAACGAACUGAAAACCGCAUACGAAGGAGGAUUUAGCAGUAAGCGGGGAACAUAGUGCCCCUCUGAAACCGGCCCUAAAGCGUGCACACACCGGCCGUCACCCUCCCCAAAGUUGCACACUAAUUACUACGUCAGAAAUAACAGCCAUAUAAGGGGAGGCAAGUCGUAACAUGGUAAGUGUACCGGAAGGUGCACUUGGAAAAU
rnacentral:ncRNA from 1 species